AAUUGAAUCAGAUUAACCGCCAUUGUUGUUGAUUGCGAUGUCUCUUACUGGAAAAGGCUAUUCAGAUCCACAUCAAGAAAGCAGUAAUAAUUAUCAUAAUGCUUCAUCUAAUUGUUGCUCAGAAGCUUUAGCUCAAUUGAAGCUUUAUCAAGCUUUCAUCUUUUCAGUCCCUAUUUUGUUUGCUUUUAUACUUUUACUGUUAUUCUACUUAUUUUAUCUUCGUCGUCAGAGAGUCGAUUGGUCCUCACUGCGGAUGAGGACGUCUACAU
rnacentral:misc_RNA from 1 species